GACGAGGGAUCCUAGCGUUGUUCGGAAUCAUUGGGCGUAAAGCGGGUGUAGGUGGCUUUGUAAGUCAGGUGUGAAAGCCCAGGGCUUAACCCUGGAAGUGCAUUUGAUACUGCGAAGCUUGAGUGUGGGAGAGGUUACUAGAAUUCCUGGUGUAGUGGUGAAAUACGUAGAUAUCAGGAGGAAUACCGGAGGCGAAGGCGGGUAACUGGCCCGACACUGACACUCAGACCCGAAAGCGUGGGGAUCAAACAGG
rnacentral:rRNA from 1 species